rnacentral:rRNA from 1 species
GACGAACGCUGGCGGCGUGCCUAAUACAUGCAAGUAGAACGCUGAAGGAGGAGCUUGCUCUUCUGGAUGAGUUGCGAACGGGUGAGUAACGCGUAGGUAACCUGCCUGGUAGCGGGGGAUAACUAUUGGAAACGAUAGCUAAUACCGCAUAACAGUAGAUGUUGCAUGACAUUUGCUUAAAAGGUGCAAUUGCAUCACUACCAGAUGGACCUGCGUUGUAUUAGCUAGUUGGUGGGGCAACGGCUCACCAAGGCGACGAUACAUAGCCGACCUGAGAGGGUGAUCGGCCACACUGGGACUGAGACACGGCCCAGACUCCUACGGGAGGCAGCAGUAGGGAAUCUUCGGCAAUGGACGGAAGUCUGACCGAGCAACGCCGCGUGAGUGAAGAAGGUUUUCGGAUCGUAAAGCUCUGUUGUAAGAGAAGAACGAGUGUGGGAGUGGAAAGUUCACACUGUGACGGUAUCUUACCAGAAAGGGACGGCUAACUACGUGCCAGCAGCCGCGGUAAUACGUAGGUCCCGAGCGUUGUCCGGAUUUUUUGGGCGUAAAGCGAGCGCAGGCGGUUAGAUAAUUCUGAAGUUAAAGGCUGUGGCUUAACCAUAGUACGCUUUGGAAACUGUGUAACUUGAGUGCAAGAGGGGAGAGUGGAAUUCCCUGUGUGCGGUGAAAUGUGUAGAUAUUUGGAGGAACACUGGUGGCAAUGCGUCUUCUUGGGGUUGUAUUGUAUUCUGAGGCUCUGAAGUGUAGGGAUCAAAAU